UAGUGGAAAUGCUAAGUCAUAGCUUGAACCAGUGAUAAAGCACCUGAUGGGAAGUCAGGGCCAACACAGGGGAGCUCAGGUGCAUGUAAUGCAUCUGAGUGGCCAGAAGGUGUGGAGCCAGGAUCCACCCCUUCCGAGAUCUUAUUUAAGAGCUGGCAGUGGAGGUAAGGGGAUUUUGCUGGAGCACUCUAUGUACUUGGGGUAAUACAUUUCUGGAGCUGUGACCUGAAACAGAAAUCCAGCAGCUUCAAAAGAGAUCUGUUCUUCCUGUUGGACUUCAUUAAAUUUCCUCAGUGCAAGUGUGGGUGAUAAAUUUUAAGGAAUAUGGUGUGAUUCCCGGAAGAUGUUGCUUUCUGUGGCAGUUUCUCAAGGUAUCUGGUUUAGGCAGAAGAGUGGUGAUGGUGGAGAGUAGUGCCAAUCUGGAUUACCAUCCUGCAGCCAGACAAGAUGUGGGUUGCUACUUCCUGUUGCUGAGGAGCUGGCAGUCUGAUAAACAUCUAGAUGAGUUCACCUGGCCCCAGUGCACAAGGACAAACUUAAGAUUUCUAAAGACUUGAGAGUAAAUUUGCUGCUUUUUUACAAGAUCUGGCAGGAUGAGAAAACAUACUUCAUGUUCUA